UACAGAGGGGGCAAGCGUUAUUCGGAAUUAUUGGGCGUAAAGGGCGCGUAGGCGGCCUGGCAAGUGGAAGGUGAAAUCCCUCGGCUUAACCGAGGAACUGCCCUCCAAACUGCUUGGCUUGAGUCCGGGAGAGGUGAGUGGAAUUCCCAGUGUAGCGGUGAAAUGCGUAGAUAUUGGGAGGAACACCAGUGGCGAAGGCAGCGAACUGGCGCUUUAUCGACGCUCAGGCACGAAAGCAUGGGGAUCAAACAGG
rnacentral:rRNA from 1 species